GUCCUGCUUGAUGCUCAUGCCAAAGAAAAAGUAGGUUUGCUGGUUUGUUGGCUUUGGCCCUGACCGCCUGAAGGCCCUCAGUGGGUCGACCUCGUCUCUGGAGGAUUGGAUCACACCUUCCAUAGGAGUCAGCUGUCAGAUGUUCCCUCUCCGCUGCCUUUCUGUGAAGGCGUCUCACCUAGAGAUGAGGAAACAGCCAGAACCAAC